rnacentral:rRNA from 1 species
CCAAUAGCGUAUAUUAAAGUUGUUGCAGUUAAAAAGCUCGUAGUUGAAUUUCGGGAUUGACACAUCGGUCGUGCCUUAAGGGGUAUGAACUGGUGUAGUCAGUUUCUCACCUUCUGGAGAACCGCGAUGUCCUUAAUUGGGUGCCGCGAGGAACCAGGACCUUUACUUUGAAAAAAUUAGAGUGUUUAACGCAGGCAUUUUGCUUGAAUACAUUAGCAUGGAAUAAUAAAAUAGGACGGAUGGUUCUAUUUUGUUGGUUUCUAGGAUCACCGUAAUGAUUAAUAGGGAUAGUUGGGGGCAUUAGUAUUCAAUUGUCAGAGGUGAAAUUCUUGGAUUUAUUGAAGACUAACUACUGCGAAAGCAUUUGCCAAGGAUGUUUUCAUUAAUCAAGAACGAAAGUUAGGGGAUCGAAGACGAUCAGAUACCGUCGUAGUCUUAACCAUAAACUAUGCCGACUAGGAAUCAGACGAUGUUAAUUUUUUAAUGACUCGUUUGGCACCUUACG